CACCGAAGCCUUUGGUCGUUUGGCUACUAGGCAAUGUGGUGUUUAGGUUGAUCCGCAGAGGCACUGCUCCACUCUGAGUCCAGCAAUGAGUACGGUAGCUUGGACAUGGCCCAUGGAGGGUGAAAGGCCCGUAAGGGUGGAGUUCAGGCAGGCCAGUGUCUCUCUGGAUUGACCUGGGAGUCGGGUUGUUUGAGAAUGCAGCCCAAAGUGGGUGGUAAACUCCAUCCAAGGCUAAAUACUAACACGAGUCCGAUAGCGAACAAGUACCGUGAGGGAAAGUUGAAAAGUACUUUGAAGAGAGAGUAAACAGUGCGUGAAACCGCUCAGAGGUAAACAGGUGGAGUUGAACUGUAUACUCCGUGAAUUCAGCUGGUGUGGAUAUUUUGGGCUUGGUUGAAUGGGUUAGACACUGAGGUAUACUGAGCUGUAUGUCCCAGUCAAUUUGGUUGGGAUGCACGCUACGCUUAUCAUGCGUUGUGCGCCUCAGUUGUUUAUCUGCCCCCUCAUCAGUGCAAUUUCACGGGGUGAUCACCACGACCGGCGUUGCUGCCUGGCUGUUUUGGUCAAACUGCCCUUUCACCGUCCAUGUGGCGUUGUUUGGUCGGGAUGGCAGGUAACUCGUUAGCUUGCUUCAGUUUGCUCUCGGGUGUUUACAGCUGGCCAAACUGGUACUGUGCAGCACGUCGGAGAUAUCGGCUCGUUGUGCGUACUCGCGCAUCCUAUUUUCCAGAGGAUCCUGGUUUGAUUAUUGUAUUGCCUAUUCAGACAGGUCCAAUAGUAUCCAGGUUCCUAUUGGUUAUUGUUUGCGUGAGCGGCACCAUGAAAGGCCAAAAGUCUGUGGUGUUGUGGUAGACUAUCCACCUGACCCGUCUUGAAACACGGACCAAGGAGAGUAACAUGUGCGCGAGUCAUUGGGCACUACGAAACCCAAAGGCAGAGUGAAAGUGAAGGUCUGACGUUUUGUACAGACUAUGGUGAGAUCCUGUCGUUUCUCACACGUGGCACCACCAAGUAAUAUAGAGAGCGACAGGCGCAUCACCGGCCCGCCCCAUGGCGUAGACAUGGUCAUUUUGUACUCGUGCAUCGUCGGGGCGGAGCAUGAGCGCACAUGUUGAGACCCGAAAGAUGGUGAACUAUGCUUGCGCAGGUUGAA
rnacentral:rRNA from 1 species